rnacentral:rRNA from 1 species
UACAGAGGGUGCAAGCGUUAAUCGGAAUUACUGGGCGUAAAGCGUGCGUAGACGGUUGCGUAAGUCAGAUGUGAAAGCCCCGGGCUCAACCUGGGAAUUGCAUUUGAGACUGCGUAGCUAGGGUGCGGAAGAGGGAAGCGGAAUUUCCGGCGUAGCGGUGAAAUGCGUAGAUAUCGGAAGGAACACCAGUGGCGAAAGCGGCUUCCUGGUCCAGCACCGACGUUCAGGCACGAAAGCGUGGGGAGCAAACAGG